UAAAACGUAGUGUACCUUCGCUUCUUAAGUGUGGAGGGAACAACCCUGGAUCAAUAUCAGGUAUUAACUCUAAGUUGGAGCCUUUGCUUAGAGGUUCCAACAAAAAUGUGUUACAGAGCUCUGCCAUGAAUUCCAGUUCAGCAUCUUUUUCUGAUAAGCUAUUGGUGAGCUCACAGGAAAGAUGUGCCUCUAUCACAACAUCAGCUAAAUCAGCUGAAGGAAAAUUGGACAUAGAACCGACCAUAUCAAGUUUAUCUGGAGAUGCAAGAAAAAAGUGCAACGAG
rnacentral:misc_RNA from 1 species